GGAUUAGAUACCCUGGUAGUCCACGCCGUAAACGAUGUCUACUUGGAGGUUGGGACCUUGAGUUCUGGCUUUCGGAGCUAACGCGUUAAGUAGACCGCCUGGGGAGUACGGUCGCAAGAUUAAAACUCAAAUGAAUUGACGGGGGCCCGCACAAGCGGUGGAGCAUGUGGUUUAAUUCGAAGCAACGCGAAGAACCUUACCUACACUUGACAUCCAGAGAACUUGCUAGAGAUAGCUUGGUGCCUUCGGGAGCUCUGAGACAGGUGCUGCAUGGCUGUCGUCAGCUCGUGUUG
rnacentral:rRNA from 1 species